rnacentral:rRNA from 1 species
AACGAACGCUGGCGGCAUGCCUAACACAUGCAAGUCGAACGGGUACCUUCGGGUGCUAGUGGCGCACGGGUGCGUAACGCGUGGGAAUCUGCCCUUGGGUUCGGAAUAACUCAGCGAAAGCUGUGCUAAUACCGGAUGAUGUCGAAAGACCAAAGAUUUAUCGCCCGAGGAUGAGCCCGCGUUGGAUUAGCUAGUUGGUGGGGUAAAGGCCUACCAAGGCGACGAUCCAUAGCUGGUCUGAGAGGAUGAUCAGCCACACUGGGACUGAGACACGGCCCAGACUCCUACGGGUGGCAGCAGUGGGGAAUAUUGGACAAUGGGCGAAAGCCUGAUCCAGCAAUGCCGCGUGAGUGAUGAAGGCCUUAGGGUUGUAAAGCUCUUUUACCCGGGAUGAUAAUGACAGUACCGGGAGAAUAAGCUCCGGCUAACUCCGUG